rnacentral:rRNA from 1 species
CAGUAGCCGCGGUAAUACAGAGGAUGCAAGCGUUAUCCGGAAUGAUUGGGCGUAAAGCGUUUGUAGGUGGCUUUUCAAGUCCGCCGUCAAAUCCCAGGGCUCAACCCUGGACAGGUGGUGGAAACUACCAAGUAGGAGUACGGUAGGGGCAGAGGGAAUUUCUGGUGGAGCGGUGAAAUGCGUUGAGAUCGGAAAGAACACCAACGGCGAAAGCACUCUGCUGGGCCGACACUGACACUGAGAGACGAAAGCUAGGGGAGCAAAUGGGAUUAGAUACCCGCGUAGUCCCUGUCUCUUAUAA